AUUGAACGCUGGCGGCAUGCCUUACACAUGCAAGUCGAACGGUAACAGGUCUUCGGAUGCUGACGAGUGGCGAACGGGUGAGUAAUACAUCGGAACGUGCCUAGUAGUGGGGGAUAACUACUCGAAAGAGUGGCUAAUACCGCAUGAGAUCUACGGAUGACAGCAGGGGAUCGCACGACCUUGUGCUACUAGAGCGGCCGAUGGCAGAUUAGGGAGUGGGUGGGAUAAAAGCUUACCAAGCCGACGAUCUGUAGCUGGUCUGAGAGGACGAUCAGCCACACUGGGACUGAGACACGGCCCAGACUCCUACGGGAGGCAGCAGUGGGGAAUUUUGGACAAUGGGCGCAAGCCUGAUCCAGCAAUGCCGCGUGCAGGAUGAAGGCCUUCGGGUUGUAAACUGCUUUUGUACGGAACGAAAAGCCCCGGGUUAAUACCCUGGGGUCAUGACGGUACCGUAAGAAUAAGCACCGGCUAACUACGUGCCAGCCGCCGCAGUAA
rnacentral:rRNA from 1 species